GGUGCCCCCUUUUUAUGAUUCCAAUAUUGUAGGUUUGUAUGGAUACUAAAGCCAAAGAUAGUUUUAUGUCCACCUUCAAUAUCUUGAAAAAAUUUCUCCAAAACUUAGAUAUAAUUUGAGUUCCUUCACUUGGUUACAACUUAGGGUCUCCACCCAUUUUGUACACACUCCAUCAAAGGUGCUUUUGCUCUUGGUAUGGAACUUAAUGUAAAUGACCUAAAACCAUGUUUGUUAUGGUGUGUAGCUUGUGCAAAGGGGGCCUCUUAAGUAUGAUAAGUAAAGCCUAUCUUAAUACAUAAGAUAUAAUAUCAUGUUAAUUGAAUUCAUUUGACUUUUUUGAUUGUUUUAUUGUUGAGUAAUGUUUGAUUUUUUAUUUUAAAAGUUUAUU
rnacentral:lncRNA from 1 species